GGAUCCUACAGCUAAGCACUGCUUCUAACUGAACAUCUGAAAUGGCAUUGAAUGGUAAAACUGCAGUAGUGACUGGAGCAGCGAUGGGGAUAGGAAAAGCAAUAACGGAAAUACUCCUGAAAAACGGUGCCAAGGUAGUCCUCUUUGAUGUGAAUGAAACUGCAGGAAAGAAUUUAAAAGAAGCCCUCGAUAAAGAAUGUGGACAGGAGAGGACUUUGUUCCUGAACUGUAAUGUUGAAUCAGAGGAACAGUUUAAAGGUCAGGGCACGGCCUUGUUCCGGGCAGCAAGAUUGUUGCCCAGGUGGCAUGACGUGUCCUUGGCUUGUAUUGAUUAAGACUGGCGAAUCAGCGGAUCAAGAAGGCGGAACUUCCUGGAAGAAAUCUACCAGCAUGUUUAGUAAACCAUUGUUAGUAUUUAAUGGGUUCAGGGAAAUUAGACGGGGUUCAGACUUCAUGAACUGAAACCCGUCUGUGUGUAUCAGGGACAUGGAGUUUUGGACCCAGAGCUCUGUAACUGCACAUUUC